UGGGGAAUAUUGGGCAAUGGAGGCAACUCUGACCCAGCAACGCCGCGUGAAUGAUGAAGGUCUUCGGAUUGUAAAGUUCUUUUCUAAGGGAAGAAGAAAGUGACGGUACCUUAGGAAUAAGCCUCGGCUAACUACGUGCCAGCAGCCGCGGUAAUACGUAGGAGGCAAGCGUUAUCCGGAAUGACUGGGCGUAAAGGGUGCGUAGGUGGUUUAGCAAGUUAGUAGCGUAACUCCGGAGCUCAACUUCGGAACUACUACUAAAACUGUUGAACUUGAGUGCAGGAGGGGCAACUGGAAUUCCUA
rnacentral:rRNA from 1 species